UACGUAGGGGGCGAGCGUUGUCCGGAUUUAUUGGGCGUAAAGGGCUCGUAGGCGGUUUGUCGCGUCGGGAGUGAAAACGCCGUGCUUAACACGGCGCUUGCUUUCGAUACGGGCAGACUAGAGGUAUUCAGGGGAGAACGGAAUUCCUGGUGUAGCGGUGAAAUGCGCAGAUAUCAGGAGGAACACCGGUGGCGAAGGCGGUUCUCUGGGAAUGACCUGACGCUGAGGAGCGAAAGUGUGGGGAGCGAACAGG
rnacentral:rRNA from 1 species